UUUUCAUUUUGGGAUAUCCAAUAAAAUUGGAAUGAUACAGAGAAAAUUAGCAUUACUGUUGUGCAAGUAUGACACAUGUCUGUUUCAAUUUGACUGAGGUUUA
rnacentral:snRNA from 1 species